CACCGCGGUUAUACGAGAGGCCCAAGUUGAUAGAGAUCGGCAUAAAGCGUGGUUAAUAUAAAUAUAAACUAAAGCCGAACACCUUCAAAGCCGUUAUACGCACCCGAAGACAGGAAGACCCUUAACGAAAGUGGCUUUAAUCAAUAUGAACCCACGAAAGCUAGGACA
rnacentral:rRNA from 1 species